CAGGGGCGGCGGCUAAGACAGUCUCGGCGAGGGGAGGCUGCGCGCACCGGCCAUUUUCAGCAGCUUUGGCGCAGCUAACUUUGGAACCUGUAACCAGGCUGGAAAAA
rfam:Procavia capensis cont1.520819, whole genome shotgun sequence.